rnacentral:rRNA from 1 species
UAGGGAAUCUUCGGCAAUGGGGGGAACCCUGACCGAGCAACGCCGCGUGAGUGAAGAAGGUUUUCGGAUCGUAAAGCUCUGUUGUUAAGGAAGAACGAGUGUGAGAAUGGAAAGUUCAUGCUGUGACGGUACUUAACCAGAAAGGGACGGCUAACUACGUGCCAGCAGCCGCGGUAAUACGUAGGUCCCGAGCGUUGUCCGGAUUUAUUGGGCGUAAAGCGAGCGCAGGCGGUUAGAAAAGUCUGAAGUGAAAGGCAGUGGCUCAACCAUUGUAGGCUUUGGAAACUGUUUAACUUGAGUGCAGAAGGGGAGAGUGGAAUUCCAUGUGUAGCGGUGAAAUGCGUAGAGAUAUGGAGGAACACCGGUGGCGAAAGCGGCUCUCUGGUCUGUAACUGACGCUGAGGCUCGAAAGCGUGGGGAGCGAACAGG